GAUGAACGCUAGCUACAGGCUUAACACAUGCAAGUCGAGGGGCAGCAUGGUCUUAGCUUGCUAAGGCCGAUGGCGACCGGCGCACGGGUGAGUAACACGUAUCCAACCUGCCGUCUACUCUUGGACAGCCUUCUGAAAGGAAGAUUAAUACAAGAUGGCAUCAUGAGUCCGCAUGUUCACAUGAUUAAAGGUAUUCCGGUAGACGAUGGGGAUGCGUUCCAUUAGAUAGUAGGCGGGGUAACGGCCCACCUAGUCUUCGAUGGAUAGGGGUUCUGAGAGGAAGGUCCCCCACAUUGGAACUGAGACACGGUCCAAACUCCUACGGGAGGCAGCAGUGAGGAAUAUUGGUCAAUGGGCGAGAGCCUGAACCAGCCAAGUAGCGUGAAGGAUGACUGCCCUAUGGGUUGUAAACUUCUUUUAUAAAGGAAUAAAGUCGGGUAUGCAUACCCGUUUGCAUGUACUUUAUGAAUAAGGAUCGGCUAACUCCGUGCCAGCAGCCGCGGUAAUACGGAGGAUCCGAGCGUUAUCCGGAUUUAUUGGGUUUAAAGGGAGCGUAGAUGGAUGUUUAAGUCAGUUGUGAAAGUUUGCGGCUCAACCGUAAAAUUGCAGUUGAUACUGGAUAUCUUGAGUGCAGUUGAGGCAGGCGGAAUUCGUGGUGUAGCGGUGAAAUGCUUAGAUUUCACGAAGAACUCCGAUUGCGAAGGCAGCCUGCUAAGCUGCAACUGACAUUGAGGCUCGAAAGUGUGGGUAUCAAACAGGAUUAGAUACCCUGGUAGUCCACACGGUAAACGAUGAAUACUCGCUGUUUGCGAUAUACAGCAAGCGGCCAAGCGAAAGCGUUAAGUAUUCCACCUGGGGAGUACGCCGGCAACGGUGAAACUCAAAGGAAUUGACGGGGGCCCGCACAAGCGGAGGAACAUGUGGUUUAAUUCGAUGAUACGCGAGGAACCUUACCCGGGCUUAAAUUGCAGAUGAAUUACGGUGAAAGCCGUAAGCCGCAAGGCAUCUGUGAAGGUGCUGCAUGGUUGUCGUCAGCUCGUGCCGUGAGGUGUCGGCUUAAGUGCCAUAACGAGCGCAACCCUUGUUGUCAGUUACUAACAGGUUCCGCUGAGGACUCUGACAAGACUGCCAUCGUAAGAUGUGAGGAAGGUGGGGAUGACGUCAAAUCAGCACGGCCCUUACGUCCGGGGCUACACACGUGUUACAAUGGGGGGUACAGAGGGCCGCUACCACGCGAGUGGAUGCCAAUCCCAAAAACCUCUCUCAGUCCGGACUGGAGUCUGCAACCCGACUCCACGAAGCUGGAUUCGCUAGUAAUCGCGCAUCAGCCACGGCGCGGUGAAUACGUUCCCGGGCCU
rnacentral:rRNA from 1 species